CAGGGUCUCCUGAGCCAGGACUCGUGAGGACUCAGUGUCAGCGAAGUGGGAAGCCUGGGUUUGGCUCUGAGCCAUCUUAUCAGUCACGAGACUCCUGAAGUCGUGUCGGUGAAGGGACGGGCGAGUCAGACCCCCGGGUGCUCUCCUGGGUUGGUUUUGCCCAGUUAAGUGGUCGAAUUUUCCUUUUAACUCGCUUCCUUCUUGCUUUUGACGAAUGGGAAUAUUUGUACCAUUUUCCCGGAUGACCUCUUCUCCUUGGGGUAAUGAGAAAAUGAAAGUCUUUGCUAAGUGCUUUGAGAUAUUCAGAUAUAAAAAUGGAGAGCAGAGUGUUGGCGUGGGCCUUCGGCUGCCAGGGCACUGUAGAAGGAGGAAGCCAGGCACACAGACCUCACUGACGGAAGGCAAAGACCACCACCUCCAUCCCACCUGCCUUUCCAGCUGCCCCAGCCACCGAUCCCUCCUUCCUAAGGGGGUCCUGCAACUCCCCAGUGCUACACAUUGGAAUGGACUUCGGACCCUGGCUUCUUGGGGUGCAAAGGAUGAAGUGACCUCCCCGCUACGUUUGAGGCACCUGUAGGACCUGCCACAAGGUAAGGCUUAAAUCUCUUCUCUGACUGCUGUCUUGUCUGGUAUUGGUGACCCCUCACCUGACACACUGUCAC
rnacentral:lncRNA from 1 species